CAAGUCGGAGGAAGUGGGGAUGACGUCAAAUCAUCAUGCCCUUAUGACCUGGGCUACACACGUGCUACAAUGGGCGGUACAAAGGGCUGCGAACCCGCGAGGGGGAGCGAAUCCCAAAAAAGCCGCUCUCAGUUCGGAUUGCAGGCUGCAACUCGCCUGCAUGAAGCCGGAAUCGCUAGUAAUCGCGGAUCAGCAUGCCGCGGUGAAUACGUUCCCGGGCCUU
rnacentral:rRNA from 1 species